UCCUUCGGGAGCAGAGUGACAGGUGGUGCAUGGUUGUCGUCAGCUCGUGUCGUGAGAUGUUGGGUUAAGUCCCGCAACGAGCGCAACCCUUGAUCUUAGUUGCCAUCAUUAAGUUGGGCACUCUAAGGUGACUGCCGGUGACAAACCGGAGGAAGGUGGGGAUGACGUCAAAUCAUCAUGCCCCUUAUGACCUGGGCUACACACGUGCUACAAUGGACGGUACAAAGAGCUGCAAGACCGCGAGGUGGAGCUAAUCUCAUAAAACCGUUCUCAGUUCGGAUUGUAGGCUGCAACUCGCCUACAUGAAGCUGGAAUCGCUAGUAAUCGCGGAUCAGCAUGCCGCGGUGAAUACGUUCCCGGGCCUUGUACACACCGCCCGUCACACCACGAGAGUUUGUAACACCCGAAGUCGGUGGGGUAACCUAUGGAGCCAGCCGCCUAAGGUGGGACAGAUGAUUGGGGUGAAGUCGUAACAAGGUAG
rnacentral:rRNA from 1 species